rnacentral:snRNA from 1 species
UUGUGUGCAUCGCCAUGCACAAUCUGGCUGAAAUAUGGCACCUUAUUCAUCUCUAGGGUUGAUUUGGCUAAUCUGGCUGAGAAGGCAGGUGUCUUUUUCCUCCUUCACCCACAAAGCUGUGUGCAAGGUUGAAGAGAAAGACAACCGUUCUUCCAUCAAGCAUAUAAGUGUAACACACUCUCCUGUUAGAAUUUCCAAAGAAGCCCUCAAGAUAUGUGUUUUCUCCAUCUGAACCUGAGGCUUUAUUUGUAGGAAAUUAUUGUAUUUGGAGAAUACCUAGCACAUUUAUAGUGUAGACUAAAAGGUUAGAUUUAU